rnacentral:rRNA from 1 species
CCUACGGGUGGCUGCAGUGGGGAAUAUUGGACAAUGGGGGCAACCCUGAUCCAGCCAUGCCGCGUGUGUGAAGAAGGCCCUCGGGUUGUAAAGCACUUUCAGUGAGGAAGAACGCCUGGUGGUUAAUACCCAUCAGGAAAGACAUCACUCACAGAAGAAGCACCGGCUAACUCCGUGCCAGCAGCCGCGGUAAUACGGAGGGGGCGAGCGUUAAUCGGAAUUACUGGGCGUAAAGCGCGCGUAGGUGGCUUGAUAAGCCGGUUGUGAAAGCCCCGGGCUCAACCUGGGAACGGCAUCCGGAACUGUCAAGCUAGAGUGCAGGAGAGGAAGGUAGAAUUCCCGGUGUAGCGGUGAAAUGCGUAGAGAUCGGGAGGAAUACCAGUGGCGAAGGCGGCCUUCUGGACUGACACUGACACUGAGGUGCGAAAGCGUGGGUAGCAAACAGGAUUAGAUACCCGAGUAGUC